CAUCAAUGGCGGAUUACCAUUUUGUUUACAAGGAUUUGGAAGGAACUUCCACUCAAUGGGACGAUAUUCAGAGAAAGCUCGGGAAUCUUCCGGAGAAGCCACCGGUGUUCCAGCCUCCGUCUUUCUCCCCAGCUGAGGACGAGGAUUCAAAGCCUAAGGAUCGGACCUGGAUCGAUGGCAAAACCGAGGAGGAGCUUGAAGAUCUCGAAGAUGAUCUCGACGAUGAUCGCUUUCUUGAGGAAUACAGGAAGAAAAGGUUGGUUGAGAUGAGGGAAGCAUCUAAGGUAGCAAAGUUUGGUUCAGUGAUUCCAAUUUCAGGAUCUGAUUUUGUGCGCGAAGUUUCACAAGCUCCACAAGAUGUUUGGGUAGUCGUCUUGCUCUACAAAGAUGGAUUUCCAGAGUGCAGGGUGCUUUUGCAAUGUCUUGAAGAUUUGGCGAAAAGAUACCCUGCAACGAAGUUUGUCAAAAUUAUAUCAACGGAGUGCAUUCCCAACUAUCCUGAUCGUAAUCUUCCCACGAUUCUGGUGUACAAUAAUAGUGCUGUUAAGGCAACUCAUGUCGGGAUACAUAGUUUCGGGCGGAGGUGCACUUCUGAAAGUGUAGCCUUAGUUCUAUGUCAGGCAGAUCCGGUGCUGAACGAUGGACAUGGAGAGCAAUCAAGAGAUGCUGUUCUUGACGGAGUGAGGAAGAAGUUUCUGGAGAGGGUUGUCAGAGAGCGCGAAGAUGAUGAUGAUGGAUCUUCAAGUGAUUGAUAUUUGCAUGUUUACUCUGCAGAGGAGCUUCUUUUUAUGCUCUCAAGAAAUAAUAUAAACAAAUGGAUAUUGAACCGUCCUAGUUAAAGAGAGCACAAGUAAGCAGUCAACAAAAGCCAUUACCUCAUGAAAAUUGUUCCAACUCCCUACUUUCUUGCUAAAACUACAUCUAUCUAGAAAUAUUU